rnacentral:lncRNA from 1 species
CUCUAGAACUACUGGUACUAAAUAGUAUUAUUCAUACGUGGAAGACCUCCUCAAUCACCAAACCAUGAGGGCACUUGGACCAAGAAAAUAACUUGUACUACCAAUUGAGCAUAGUAACUAUUUCAAUGCAUGGACAACCACCUAAGAUAAUACAAACACUAUCUUCGAGUAGAACUCAAAUUAUUUGCCAUUUGGCUUCAACCUCAACCAAGCAAUAGGUAGUAACACUCGAAAUUCUACCUCCUCUUUGGCAAAGCUUCUCCCAAGAUUGUUACCUUGGUCAUUCUUUAAUGAAAUAUCAAUUCUAUCAAUCAUCUUGAAUUCUUUCCAUCUCUCUUGUACACAUAGGGAUGUAAACGAGACGGAUCGAGCUAGUUCGGUCCAACCCAAUCAAAAUAAGGUCAGGCUUUUUUUGCCUAAAUCGAGCCGAUCCGAGCCAAAUCUCUAUCAAAAAAUCGAAACUUGGCUUGAGCUUUAGACUCGAGCCUUGCCCAGUUGGCUCAAUUUUUUUUUCUUUUCGGGUCAUGCAGGCAAGCGACCACCUGAAGCAAGCAGGGGGGGCCUAUGACACGGGCAAAAAAUGGAGCCACACGGGUUAGCUCAAGCUCGGGUUGUCACCCAAAAAUGAGGCUUGGCACGAGCUUUGCUCCAUGACUCGAGCUUUUUAUAGGCCGUUUAAGCCGAAUUGACAUCCCUAUGUAUAAGCCCACUUCUUAACCUGAUUUCCUAAGCUCAAUUGACUGUUGAAUCCGUAGCUCUGUGAUGAAAAUGUGUACGGAUCCACUAAUCUUCAAGUCCAAUUCCUCAUCAUAGUGCCCACAAUAUUCACAUCUCCUUCACAAGAAUAUUCAUAGCUCAAAACCCUAUAUUAAAGAAUAAACAGAUAAACUGAACCCAAGAUUAUGAAAUUGUAGUGUAAAAUUCUGGACUAUUGGGGUUUAUGGACAACAUUCUAAUUGGGAUUAAAGUUGUGAGAGACUACUCAAAUCUCAUUCUAUAAGAUUUCAUAUAUGGUCACCAGAUUCAAUCAGCCACUAUGAACGCACUAAUUG